rnacentral:lncRNA from 1 species
UGAGGCUACAGUUUGGCUGUUAAUUAUCCAAUUAUAUUUAGAGUAAAUUUUUAAAUUUUCCCUCCACUGUAAAUGCUUUCAGUAAAACACCUCCUGUUUAAAUGACUGCAGUCUGGAGAGAAUGAGCAAUAUACGGAACUCUCAGGACAUCCCAUGUCCCAUUUAAUUAUUGGUAGGUUGGGCCAAUUUUCAACUAAUUUCAGUACAAAUGUGGAUGUACAUUUGAUGACAGGUUUCACUUAGAAUUGUCUCCUUUCCUAUCAACAUAUGGAAAAUGUUUUGAACUUCAUUAAGGCCAUGGUCUUUGGAAGCAGUCUGACAAGACUCAACUCCAUCUCCAGUUUCCCGGAAAAAGAAAAUUAUCUUCUCAGGUGUGAUUUAUGGCACUCAUUACCUUUCUCACCUUGUGGAGGCUCGAGUGUGACAUCAUCGUGGUCGUGGUUCUUAGGGAAGUGGCAUUCAUUACCUCAAGAAAAAGAAGGAUAAGGUAAGAGAAAGCAAAAUAAUGAAAUCAUUUCAUUUAUUUUAAACUUCAAAAUAAUUCUUUGAUAUUUACUGCUGUGACAUAAGUUUAGCAGAAAAAUAUUUCAUCCAAAACUCAGCUAAGUCUUAAUAUAUUCUAUGAAUGAAGUUUAUUUAUACUUUUAAAAGAAUCCAUAACAGGUAAAAGACAAUCCCAACUCCAACUGUUCUAACAAAAAGACAGCAUGAGGUGGGUAGGAGGAGGGGUGAAAUAGACAAAGGGGAUUAAGAGUACACAUAUACUGAUGAACACUGAGUGAUAGAAUUGUUGAAAUAUUAUAUUGUACAUCUGAAACAUAACACUGUAUGUUAAUUAUACUUCAAUUAAAAAGUAAUCAAGACAAAUAAAAAAAGACAAAAAGAAAGCA